UAAGGAAUAUUGGACAAUGGAGGCAACUCUGAUCCAGCCAUGCCGCGUGAAGGAAUAAGGCCCUAUGGGUUGUAAACUUCUUUUAGACGGGACAAAACCCCUUUACGUGUAAAGGGUUGAUGGUACUGUCAGAAUAAGCAUCGGCUAACUUCGUGCCAGCAGCCGCGGUAAUACGAAGGAUGCAAGCGUUAUCCGGAAUUAUUGGGUUUAAAGGGUGCGUAGGCGGACUAAUAAGUCAGUGGUGAAAGCCUGCAGCUUAACUGCAGAAUUGCCAUUGAUACUGUUAGUCUUGAGUACAGUUGAGGUAGGCGGAAUGUGUCAUGUAGCGGUGAAAUGCUUAGAUAUGACACAGAACACCGAUUGCGAAGGCAGCUUGCUAAGCUGUAACUGACGCUGAGGCACGAAAGCGUGGGGAG
rnacentral:rRNA from 1 species